GACGAACGCUGGCGGCGUGCUUAACACAUGCAAGUCGAGCGGUAAGGCCCUUUCGGGGGUACACGAGCGGCGAACGGGUGAGUAACACGUGGGUGACCUGCCCUCAGCUCUGGGAUAAGCCCGGGAAACUGGGUCUAAUACUGGAUAUGACUCCAUGACGCAUGUUGUGGGGUGGAAAGCCUUGUGCGGCUGGGGAUGGGCCCGCGGCCUAUCAGCUUGUUGGUGGGGUGAUGGCCUACCAAGGCGACGACGGGUAGCCGGCCUGAGAGGGCGACCGGCCACACUGGGACUGAGACACGGCCCAGACUCCUACGGGAGGCAGCAGUGGGGAAUCUUGCGCAAUGGGCGAAAGCCUGACGCAGCGACGCCGCGUGAGGGAUGACGGCCUCGGUGUAACGUACUU
rnacentral:rRNA from 1 species